rnacentral:rRNA from 1 species
CCCUUAGAUGCUCUGGGCCGCACGCGCGCUACACUGGUCGAUGCAACGAGUUUCUUUCCUUGGCCGACAGGCCCGGGCAAUCUUUGAACGCCGGUCGUGAUGGGGAUAGACUUUUGCAAUUUUUGGUCUUCAACGAGGAAUUCCUAGUAAACGCAAGUCAUCAACUUGCAUUGAUUACGUCCCUGCCCUUUGUACACACCGCCCGUCGCACCUACCGAUUGAAUGGUCCGGUGAAGCGCUCGGACCGCGGCCUCUUGACGGUUCGCUGUCGAUUGGCUGUGGGAAGUUCGUUAAACCUUAUCAUUUAGAGGAAGGAGAAGUCGUAACA